AGGUCUUCACUCAUAGUUUAUUGAACAGCAAAGUUCUUUGGCAAACACUAUCUUUGCCUCCGUUCGGCUAUUCACAGCCACUCAAGCUCUUCAGCUCUGCGAGCCCCAGCGCUCCGCUUUCAACUUGAUUCCAUCAAGUCUCUUUGAGUUAUUACAACUCGACAACUAUUCACAGCCACUCAAGCUCUUCAGCUCUACGAGCCCCAGCGCUCCGCUUUUGACUUGAUUCCAUCAAGUCUCUUCGAGUCAUCACAACUCAC
rnacentral:lncRNA from 1 species